UUAUUUUGAUUAUUUAUUUCAAAACUCCAUUUUAAAUCAAAUUCUCUAAAACUUCUAAUUUCCGAAUUAAAUUCCUAAUCCCAAAAAUUCUCAUGUUCCCACUAAAUUAUUUGAUCAUUAGUAUUUUAUUUAUUUAUUUAUUUCAAAACUCCGUUUUAAAUCAAAUUCUUUAAAAUCGCUGAUUUCCAAAUUAAAUUCCUAAUCCCGAAAAUUCUCAUAUUCUCAUUAAUUUAUUUAAUCAUUAGUAUUUUAUCUCCACAUUGAUGAGAACGUUAUAUAAAAAGGAUCCAUGUAUAUUGCAUAUAUUAACUAGUAAAGAAAACUUAAAAAAUAAUUCAAAUAAUUUUCAUUUCCCUACUUUACCUUUUUACCCCUUUUUACCCCCUAAGGGUAAGAAAAAUACAUAAUAAAAUGAAAGCAAAAAAUUUAACAGAAAAUGCUUACUUUCUUAUUGAUUGCUGAUGAAUUUACAAGGCUGAAGAUGGAGUUUCUUUUUACAGACAACUUUGCACACUAUUGCACACACUUUCUCUCGGGCACACUUCUUUUCUUUUACUACCACUAAUUUAUAGGCAAAGCAUUUACAAGUGACAGGUGAGAAUACAGGUGAGAAUUAAUUUCAAGUGGUUGGAUGGUAGGAAAAAUAUUUACGGUGUUCAGAGGUUUGGUAUAAAAUAAAUACAAAGACUUUUGACUUUUGAGACAUGUGACUUUUAUUCAUCCGUUCUUCUCUUCCUUCUUGUCUCUUUCUCUUGUCCUUUUCUUCUCUUUUUAUUACAUGCAUAAUACGUGGCUUGUGGAUGUCUUUACUGCUUCUGGAGUUGUACUGCCAUAUUUAAUUUGUGUAGUUGAAGACGCAUUUACUGCUUCAAUAUCGUCAUUGCUGACAUCAUCCUUCCAUUGCAUUUUGUAGAUUAUGAUAACUUUCAUCGUCCAGGUUGUCCCAAAAUAAUGCGUCAUCGCUGAGGUAGGAAGAUGGUUCCGGUAUAUCUACACUGAGUUCGGUUAUAAAAUCCUGUUCUUCAGAAGUAAUAAAAGGGUUUGGAACAAUGAUGUGUUCUAAAGGUUUUACUCUCCAUAUAGACAUGGUUUUUGUUUCGCCAAUAAUUUAUUCCGGGUUGGUCUAAGAUCAUAGAUUUGAAAAGCUCUAAAGCGAGUAAAAAAUUCUGGAAAUUCGUUUGAACGGGUCAUUUCCCAUUCUGGUUCUUGUUGAGGGAUGAGUGGUUCUUUAUUAUGUUUUAUAUAUACAUGAUGAUAGGCUGGUACUACUGAUCCAUCGGGUUGAAAUAAAGGUGGAAUGGUUUCAAAAGAAAUAUCUAUAUAUUUUUCGGUUUUAAAAAGAUAGGUUAAAAUAUCUUUCAAUUUUUCUGGGAAAUUUUCAGGAAUUUGAGAUAUAUGGUUCAUAAAAACAUUUUUUAAAAUUCCCUGAUCCAUAAGUUGCGGUACUAAAUCAAAAUUUUCUUUAUUUACAACAGACAUAUUUACAUAAGCUAGAUAUAUAACAAAGAAAAAUUCAGGGUCGUGAUAUGCCAUAUACCCUGUUUUUAUCCCGACAUUUUUAGUUCUAAAAUGUUUAUACAAAAGUUCUUGAUUUUUAAACACUUUGUUAUAUUGGUUUUGUAGAAAAAAGGUUUUGACGAAAGAGUAGUUAUCAACUCCAAUUAUAUUUUUAACAACAAGCCUUUCAUAUUGUUCAGUCAGAAGAGCUGAUUUCUUAAUUAAACUAAUUACUUCAGGAUGACUGUUUGAACAGCUGGUUUGAUUGGUUGACACUGUACUGGUUUUCAAAUCUUCUAUCAGUUUUUCUUGAUUUUCUUGGAUUUUGAGGUUUUGGAAUUUUUGGGUUUCUNNNNNNNNNNNNNNNNNNNNNNNNNNNNNNNNNNNNNNNNNNNNNNNNNNNNNNNNNNNNNNNNNNNNNNNNNNNNNNNNNNNNNNNNNNNNNNNNNNNNUAUGAUAACUUUCAUCGUCCAGGUUGUCCCAAAAUAAUGCGUCAUCGCUGAGGUAGGAAGAUGGUUCCGGUGUAUCUACACUGAGUUCGGUUAUAAAAUCCUGUUCUUCAGAAGUAAUAAAAGGGUUUGGAACAAUAAUGUGUUCUAAAGGUUUUACUCUCCAUAUAGACAUGGUUUUUGUUUCGCCAAUGAGAUGAAAUAAUUUAUUCCGGGUUGGUCUAAGAUCAUAGAUUUGAAAAGCUCUAAAGCGAGUAAAAAAUUCUGGAAAUUCGUUUGAACGGGUCAUUUCCCAUUCUGGUUCUUGUUGAGGGAUGAGUGGUUCUUUAUUAUGUUUUAUAUAUACAUGAUGAUAGGCUGGUACUACUGAUCCAUCGGGUUGAAAUAAAGGUGGAAUGGUUUCAAAAGAAAUAUCUAUAUAUUUUUCGGUUUUAAAAAGAUAGGUUAAAAUAUCUUUCAAUUUUUCUGGGAAAUUUUCAGGGAUUUGAGAUAUAUGGUUCAUAAAAACAUUUUUUAAAAUUCCCUGAUCCAUAAGUUGCGGUACUAAAUGAAAAUUUUCUUUAUUUACAACAGACAUAUUUACAUAAGCUAAAUAUAUAACAAAGAAAAAUUCAGGGUCGUGAUAUGCCAUAUACCCUGUUUUUAUACCGGUAUUUUUAGUUCUAAAAUGUUUAUACAAAAGUUCUUGAUUUUUAAACACUUUGUUAUAUUGGUUUUGUAGAAAAAAGGUUUUGACGAAAGAGUAGUUAUCAACUCCAAUUAUAUUUUUAACAACAAGCCUUUCAUAUUGUUCAGUCAGAAGAGCUGAUUUCUUAAUUAAACUAAUUACUUCAGGAUGAC
rnacentral:lncRNA from 1 species